GAGUGGCGGACGGGUGAGUAACGCGUGGGUAACCUGCCCUGUACAGGGGGAUAACAGUUGGAAACGGCUGCUAAUACCGCAUAAGCGCACGAGAGGACAUCCUCUCGUGUGAAAAACUCCGGUGGUACAGGAUGGGCCCGCGUCUGAUUAGCUGGUUGGCAGGGUAACGGCCUACCAAGGCGACGAUCAGUAGCCGGUCUGAGAGGAUGAACGGCCACAUUGGAACUGAGACACGGUCCAAACUCCUACGGGAGGCAGCAGUGGGGAAUAUUGCACAAUGGGGGAAACCCUGAUGCAGCAACGCCGCGUGAGUGAAGAAGUAUUUCGGUAUGUAAAGCUCUAUCAGCAGGGAAGAUAAUGACGGUACCUGACUAAGAAGCUCCGGCUAAAUACGUGCCAGCAGCCGCGGUAAUACGUAUGGAGCAAGCGUUAUCCGGAUUUACUGGGUGUAAAGGGUGCGUAGGUGGCAGUGCAAGUCAGAUGUGAAAGGCCGGGGCUCAACCCCGGAGCUGCAUUUGAAACUGCUCGGCUAGAGUGUCGGGGAGGUAAGUGGAAUUCCUAGUGUAGCGGUGGAAUGCGUAGAUAUCGGGAGGAACACCAGUGGCGAAGGCGGCCUACUGGGCACCAACUGACGCUGAGGCUCGAAAGUGUGGGUAGCAAACAGGAUUAGAUACCCUGGUAGUCCACACCGUAAACGAUGAUUACUAGGUGUUGGAGGAUUGACCCCUUCAGUGCCGCAGUUAACACAAUAAGUAAUCCACCUGGGGAGUACGACCGCAAGGUUGAAACUCAAAGGAAUUGACGGGGGCCCGCACAAGCAGUGGAGUAUGUGGUUUAAUUCGACGCAACGCGAAGAACCUUACCAAGUCUUGACAUCCCUUGACAGGCAUAGAAAUAUGUAUUCUCUUCGGAGCAAGGAGACAGGUGGUGCAUGGUUGUCGUCAGCUCGUGUCGUGAGAUGUUGGGUUAAGUCCCGCAACGAGCGCAACCCUUAUGGUCAGUUACUACGCAAGAGGACUCUGGCCAGACUGCCGUUGACAAAACGGAGGAAGGUGGGGAUGACGUCAAAUCAUCAUGCCCUUUAUGACUUGGGCUAAACACGUACUACAAUGGCGUUAAACAAAGAGAAGCAAGACCGCGAGGUGGAGCAAAACUCAGAAACAACGUCCCAGUUCGGACUGCAGGCUGCAACUCGCCUGCACGAAGUCGGAAUUGCUAGUAAUCGUGGAUCAGCAUGCCACGGUGAAUACGUUCCCGGGCCUUGCACACACCGCCCGUCA
rnacentral:rRNA from 1 species